rnacentral:rRNA from 1 species
GACGUAGGAGGCGAGCGUUGUCCGGAUUCAUUGGGCGUAAAGAGCACGCAGGCGGUUUGGCAAGUCGGACGUGAAAAUCCGGGGCUCAACCCCGGACCUGCAUCCGAAACUGCCCGACUAGAGGUAGGUAGGGGAGAUCGGAAUUCCUGGUGUAGCGGUGAAAUGCGUAGAGAUCAGGAAGAACACCGGUGGCGAAAGCGAUCUGCUAGGCCGCAACUGACACUGAGGGACGAAAGCUAGGGGAGCGAAUGGG